rnacentral:rRNA from 1 species
GAUGAACGCUGGCGGCGUGCUUAACACAUGCAAGUCGAACGGAAAGGCUCCUGCUUGCUGGGGUACUCGAGUGGCGAACGGGGGAGUAACACGUGGGUGAUCUGCCCUGCACUUUGGGAUAGGCCUGGGAAACUGGGCCUAAUACCGGAUAGGACGAUGGUUUGGAUGCCAAGGAGGAAAGUUUUUUCGGUGUGGGUUGUGCUCGCGGCCUAUCAGCUUGUUGGUGGGGUAAUGGCCUACCACGGCGUCGACGGGGAGCCGGCCUGGGAGGGAGUCCGGCCACAUUGGCCCUGGGGUGCGGCCCAGGCGCCUUCGGGGGGCAGGGGCGGGAAAUAUUGCACGAUGGGCGCAAGCGUGAUGCAGCGACGCCGCGUGGGAGAUGACGGCUUUCGGGUUGGAAACUCCUUUCGCUAGGGACGAGGCGCAGUGACGGUACCUGGAGAAGAAGCACCGGCUAACUACGUG